GGCGGCGUAGCCCAGUGGUUAGAGCAUCCGGCUCAUACCCGGAGUGUCGAGGGUUCGAAUCCCCCCGCCGCCACCA
rnacentral:tRNA from 6 species